rnacentral:rRNA from 1 species
UCCCUACGGGGCGCAGCAGGCGCGAAAACUUUACACUGCGCGAAAGCGCGAUAAGGGGACCUCGAGUGCGUGCGCAAUGCGUACGCUUUUCAGAUGCCUAAAAAGCAUGUGGAAUAAGGGCCGGGCAAGACCGGUGCCAGCCGCCGCGGUAACACCGGCGGCUCAAGUGGUGGCCGCUAUUAUUGGGCUUAAAGGGUCCGUAGCCGGACCAGUUAGUCCCUUGGGAAAUCUUACGGCUUAACCGUAAGGCUGCCAAUGGAUACUGC